UUGACCUCGGAUCAGGUAGGGAUACCCGCUGAAACUUAAGCAUAUCAAUAAGCGGGAGGGAA
rnacentral:rRNA from 1 species